AUUGAACGCUGGCGGCAUGCUUUACACAUGCAAGUCGAACGAGUGGCGCACGGGUGAGUAAUACAUCGGAACGUGUCCUAUCGUGGGGGAUAACUGAUCGAAAGAUUAUCUAAUACCGCAUACGAUUGUAGCGGCCGAUGCACGAUUAGCUAGUUGUGGCGGUAAAGGCUCACCAAGGCGACGAGCGGUAGCUGGUCUGUGAGGACGAACAGCCACACGGGGACUGAUACACGGCCCAGACUCCUACGGGAGGCAGCAGUGGGGAAUUUUGGACAAUGGGUGCAACCCGGAUCCAGCCAUGCCGCGUGCAGGAUGAAGGUCUUCGGAUUGUAAACUGCUUUUGUCAGGGAAGCGGUACCUGAAGAAUAAGCACCGGCUAACUACGUGCCAGCAGCCGCGGUAAUAC
rnacentral:rRNA from 1 species